rnacentral:lncRNA from 1 species
AGGUAUUGGUAAGUCAAGUGAUAAUUUUAUGAUUAUCACUGUCCCAUUCUUUGAAACGAGUGUUAAAUUUUUUAGAAGAUUCUCCUUCAACAGCAACAAGGAUAGUGAUAUCACCAGUGAUAUAUUUCCAAAGUUUACGAUCACGGAGAAAAUAUAAAUAGGUUGAGAAACAUCAUCUUGAGCCAUUGGAGAUGACAAAUAACCAAAAAUAUACACAAAGGAGUGGACAAAUAACAGUAUAGUACUGAUGAACUAGAUAAAGCGAACUAGAUUUGGUCAAAUGACGAUGACGUCAACAGAUACAAUUUGCAAGGUGUGGACCUGAGCAAUACACGAACCGGAGCAAAAGAGUAUUGAUGUACAAGAACUAGAGAUGCAAUUAAACAUCCAAGGACUAAAUUGGCUUGUGGACCAGAUUAUCACAAGCACUAUACUGAUUAGAGAACUAAAUUGACUUCAAAAGCAAAACAUGAACAUGCUUGGCAUAUGAUAGAGAUUGACAGACUGUGCAUGCAAGAUUGAAA